UACGGAGGGUGCAAGCGUUAUCCGGAUUCACUGGGUUUAAAGGGUGCGUAGGUGGGCAGGUAAGUCAGUGGUGAAAUCUCCGAGCUUAACUCGGAAACUGCCGUUGAUACUAUUUGUCUUUGAAUAUUGUGGAGGUAAGCGGAAUAUGUCAUGUAGCGGUGAAAUGCUUAGAUAUGACAUAGAACACCAAAUUGCGAAGGCAGCUUACUACACA
rnacentral:rRNA from 1 species